AAGUAUUGGCAAAUCAACAGACCUUGCUGGUAACACCCUAUCUUGAAAAGCAGGCAUUUCAGAUACAUGGGGAGACAAACCUUGUCCUUUCAUCUGGGCACCAGGCCAGUCCUGAAAUACCUGUUGUGCCAGGUCCAAAACUAACAUCUCAUGGGCAGGGGGCUGAAAGACCAAUAAUUGUAAUUAUUUUCUUUCAGUUUGUCCAGUGUCAGAGUUUUGAUGAGCUUUGAUAAGACUUGACUCUCAAGCAUGCCCCUUCAUUCUGCAAACCUUGAUUCUUGUAGAACAACUUCCUGCCUACAUAUAUGUACAACCUUGUUCUUCAAAUACCCACUGCAAAGACUCUGCAGAAGGGAAUAGAACUUCACUUUGGAAAGAGUUGAGGAAGAGAAAUUCUGCCUUCCCUGAAAUUGUGAAAGACAGAUUCUGCAAAAGAGUAAUCCAUUCCAGCUUUGUUGCCAAAUAGGGAUGUGCAUGGUCUUCAGAUGAACAAAAAGCUGCUGGCACCAAAGGAGGAGGUGACUGAAGCUCAGUGCCCUAAUGGAGUCCAGGAUGUCCCGUGGACACUCCAGCCACUAAGGUGCUAGGCAGGGGGGGCUCAGACUGUUCACCGGAUACUUCAUAUCUCCUUGCAGCUACUCUGUCAGCCAUUUCACAUUGGUACUGUAGUUGGUACCAGGCCACCAUCUUGGGUUUUUGGUAUGGUUUUUUUUUCUUUUCAUAUUAUAUAUGUGUGGGUUGACUGAGAUUUGACUGCUUUCUUUUUGUUUAUUCCAUUGUUGGAAACUCCCCAUAGUGUCAAGGCCACUAGAUGGUAUGGUAUAACGAACAAAGGAAAGGCCUGAAUCAUUGUUAGUAGCUAGGAUUGAGGUUCUAGAAUUUCUAAUUUUUUUUCCUUCCUUACUUAGUUCCUUCACUGAACAAUUUACUGCUAGCAUAUAUGUCUCUCUCUCUCUCUCUCUCUCUCUCUCUGUGUGUGUGUGUUAGUAGCUAGGAUUGAGGUUCUAGAAUUUUUAA
rnacentral:lncRNA from 1 species